rnacentral:rRNA from 1 species
CCUACGGGAGGCAGCAGUGGGGAAUAUUGGACAAUGGGGGCAACCCUGAUCCAGCCAUGCCGCGUGUGUGAAGAAGGCCUUCGGGUUGUAAAGCACUUUAAGCGGGGAGGAAGGCUCUAUGGCUAAUAUCCAUGGGGAUUGACGUUACCCGCAGAAUAAGCACCGGCAAACUUCGUGCCAGCAGCCGCGGUAA